UACGAAGGGGGCGAGCGUUGUUCGGAAUUACUGGGCGUAAAGGGCGCGUAGGCGGCGAACCAAGUCAGAUGUGAAAGUCCUGGGCUUAACCUGGGGACUGCAUUUGAUACUGGUUUGCUUGAAUUCGGGAGAGGAUAGCGGAAUUCCCAGUGUAGAGGUGAAAUUCGUAGAUAUUCGCAAGAACACCAGUGGCGAAGGCGGCUCACUGGCCCGAUACUGACGCUGAGGCACGAAAGCGUGGGGAGCAAACAGG
rnacentral:rRNA from 1 species